rnacentral:rRNA from 1 species
UACGUAGGGUGCAAGCGUUGUCCGGAAUUAUUGGGCGUAAAGAGCUUGUAGGCGGUUUGUCGCGUCUGCUGUGAAAUUUCGGGGCUCAACCCCAAGCUUGCAGGCGAUACGGGCAGACUAGAGUACUUCAGGGGAGACUGGAAUUCCUGGUGUAGCGGUGAAAUGCGCAGAUAUCAGGAGGAACACCGGUGGCGAAGGCGGGUCUCUGGGAAGUAACUGACGCUGAGAAGCGAAAGCGUGGGUAGCGAACAGG